rnacentral:rRNA from 1 species
GCUUCCUUUNAGGGUACCGUCAGCACUCUUGCGAGUAUUUCUUCCCCUCUGACAGAAGUUUACGACCCAAAGGCCUUCAUCCUUCACGCGGCGUUGCUGCGUCAGGGCUUCCCCCAUUGCGCAAAAUUCCCCA